CAGGAAGUGAACUAACUGGAACACACUGUGAAGUUAAGUGCUGCUUUAACUGACAGAAUAUUUAACACUUUCUACAGCAAAGGUGUUCAUCAGUAGCAACAGCACAGUCACAGGAGAGUAUGAUGAUGAGACUCAUUUUGCAACCAAAGGUCUUCACAGUUGUGAAAAACUUCACAGAGGAAUACACUGGAAAUGUGGAAAACGGAGACGUCUUCAUUGUGCGUCAUAAAAAGCGCUGCAUCGCUGGAGUGUACUGUGCUGAAGACACACUGAUCAUUCAGCUGGAAAGUAAUCUCGAAACACAUUUAUAAUGGUUAUAAUUCAUCUAGAUACAUCAUGAAGCAAAUACAAUUAUGAUGCAAAAUAAUUAAUUAAUAAACACUGUGUGUGUUACAGAAAAGUACUGAGUGACAGGGUGUGUGAUGAGUUACUGUUAUCACCCUGUAGUUAAUUAUCUUCCCAUAACAGCAUGUCCCCAAGUGUUUUAUUCCACUUAUACCACAAUUUACCAACAAUUACAUUUCUUUUUUAAUUAAAGAACAAUAUGUCAUACUUUUACAUUAAAUGUUGUGGAUUUAGUUCCUGUUCUCAAUUAAGUUAUAGCUAUAGCUAUAAACAGUCGUUCCCUCACCACGUUUCAUGUUACUGAGAAACUGCAAAGAAGUGAAUGUGGAAAGGUUCACUGGAGGGAACAGAUUCGCAAUUUAUAGGAAGAAUGGGGGAAUCCCUAAUUCAUUCAGAGAAAACGUUAAUGAAGCGAUGAGCAGUGGUCCAGAAUACAAUUUAACCAAAUACAACUGUAUUGAGUUUGUCAUGGAUCUUCUUGAAGUUGAUCUGAAGGUAAAACAAUCAUUUUCAUACUUUAGAAUAUGAUCUCUUGAUUUAGACUUACUGUUUAAGCUAACUACAAUAUUAUGUAAUUCAGAGAAAGUCAGUUUUAUAACAUGGCAUGAUGCUUUAGUUUCUUUUUUCUGCUCUUUACUAAACAGCAUUCCAUAUGACGGGUGAUUUUUUUCAGCCAACUCUAGAGGACUGCAUGAAGAUUGGACUCGGCACUAAACCAAGGGGCUUCAAAGUUGUCAAAAAGUUCUCUGAUGUUGAUGGUGGAAAAGCAAAGCUAGGAGACCUGUUUAUCGUGGAAAGUGUGUUAAGUGGCAUAUCACCACGCUGGAGUGUGCUGCCGUGAAACUGGUCAGGAGAUCAUUCACUUCACACCGAAAUCUACCGGAUCAUUUGAGUUCAGCGCAAUGGCCACCAAGUCCACUUCCUGUGAAGGUCUCGUGAGCAAAGUGAACGUUAAAGGGUUCUCCUCAGGCAGCAAAUUUGCAAUUUAUAGGAAGAAGAUGGGAAUCCCUGACUCAUUCCAAAAAAGAGUCGAUGAAGCAAUGAGCCAAAGCCCAAAAUAUCAACUUUUAAAGUACAACUGUAUUCAUUUUGCCCUGGAGCUUUUAUACGGAGAUUUGGAGGCAAGAAACGUUCUCCUGAUGUGUGCAUGCUAAUUACCGCAUACAUAACAUGCUCACUAAUAUAUUAAUACACUAUAUAUUAAUAUAAUAUAUAAUUAUAAUAUAAUAAUAAAUAUAAUAUUUCUU